rnacentral:ncRNA from 1 species
UGAAAUGCUUAGAUAGGGAAGAGUACAUGAACAAUUCCUAAAGAGAGGAAAACAUUCGGUGAGAGUUUUCCAGGAACCCUGUUGAUGGAAGGUCGCCCUUGAUGCAGCUUCUUUGAACCAAAGAGUAGGAGAAGCCGGUUAGAAGCCGUUAUGUCAGUCGAGUGUACAGGAAGAGUAUGUUGUUUUCCUGUAAAUGAAGGUGGUACCACGGAAUGAAUCCCCUCCGUCCUUUUU